UCCUGGUUAACCCAGGCAGUCUCAUUAGAGUGCCCAACUCAAUGUAGCAACUAAUGACAAGGGUUGCGCUCGUUGCGGGACUUAACCCAACAUCUCACGACACGAGCUGACGACAGCCAUGCAGCACCUGUGUUCAGGCUCCCUUUCGGGCACAUCCACCUCUCAGCGGACUUCCUGACAUGUCAAGGGUAGGUAAGGUUUUUCGCGUUGCAUCGAAUUAAUCCACAUCAUCCACCGCUUGUGCGGGUCCCCGUCAAUUCCUUUGAGUUUUAAUCUUGCGACCGUACUCCCCAGGCGGUCGACUUCACGCGUUAGCUGCGGUACUAAGGGAGUCUCCUCCCCCAACACCUAGUCGACAUCGUUUAGGGCGUGGACUAC
rnacentral:misc_RNA from 1 species